rnacentral:rRNA from 1 species
CCCUUAGAUGUUCUGGGCUGCACGCGCGCUACACUGAAGCUAUCAACACGUUUUCCCUCCCUGAGAAGGGCGGGUAACCUUUUGAAUCAGCUUCGUGGUAGGGAUCGGGGCUUGCAAUUGUUCCCCGUGAACCAGGAAUUCCUAGUAGACGCGAGUCAUAAGCUCGCAUCGAUUAAGUCCCUGCCCUUUGUACACACCGCCCGUCGCACCUACCGAUUGGAUGGUCCGGUGAAGCCUCGGGAUUGUGGUUCUUGCCGCUUUAUUGUGGCGUGACCGCGAGAACUUGUCUAAACCUUAUCAUCUAGAGGAAGGUGAAGUCGUAACA